UCUCUUCUUCUUUCUUCUGUACCAUCACUUUACUUACCAUUCUUAGUAGUUUUUAGAAAGCAAAAGGCUUCUCAUCCUUUUUUACUAUUUUUAGAAAACAAGAGAUAGAGAGAGCAAAGUCGUUCCACGGCUGGAAAGAAUCGUCAGUUUCAGGGAAGGGAGGAAAUUUUGCCUAAAUCAUCAUCUCUUCUCUAUGUUUCUUUUUAAAUUUGGAAGGGAGGAAAUUAUAACCAAGAGUUGAAGAUGGCUGGAAAGAAUCGUCAGUUUCAGGGAAGGGAGGAAAUUUUGCCUAAAUCAUCAUCUCUUCUCUAUGUUUCUUUUUAAAUUUGGAAGGGAGGAAAUUAUAACCAAGAGUUGAAGAUGGCUGGAAAGAAUCGUCAGUUUCAGGGAAGGGAGGAAAUUUUGCCUAAAUCAUCAUCUCUUCUCUAUGUUUCUUUUUAAAUUUGGAAGGGAGGAAAUUAUAACCAAGAGUUGAAGAUGGCUGGAAAGAAUCGUCAGUUUCAGGGAAGGGAGGAAAUUUUGCCUAAAUCAUCAUCUCUUCUCUAUGUUUCUUUUUAAAUUUGGAAGGGAGGAAAUUAUAACCAAGAGUUGAAGAUGGCUGGAAAGAAUCGUCAGUUUCAGGGAAGGGAGGAAAUUUUGCCUAAAUCAUCAUCUCUUCUCUAUGUUUCUUUUUAAAUUUGGAAAGGAGGAAAUUAUAACCAAGAGUUGAAGAU